AGGUAGGUAGGUAGGUAGGAAGGUCAGUCAGUAGGUAUUUAGGUAGGAAGGUCAGUCAGUCAGUAGGUAGGUAGGAAGGUCAGUCAGUAGGUAGGUAGGUAGGUAGGUCAGUCAGUAGGUAGGUAGGUAGAAAGGUCAGGCAGUAGGUAGGUAGGAAGGUCAGGCAGUAGGUGGGUAGGUAGGUAGGUAGGUAGGUCAGUCAGUAGUUAGGUAGGUAGGUCAAUCAGUAGGUAGGUAUGCAGGUAGGAAGGUCAGUCAGUGGGUAGGUAUGUAGGUAGGAAGGUCAGUCAGUAGGUAGGUAUGUAGGUAGGAAGGUCA